rnacentral:rRNA from 1 species
GAUGAACGCUAGCGAUAGGCUUAACACAUGCAAGUCGAGGGGCAGCAUGGUCUUAGCUUGCUAAGACUGAUGGCGACCGGCGCACGGGUGCGUAACGCGUAUGCAACUUGCCUCACAGAGGGGGAUAACCCGUCGAAAGACGGACUAAUACCGCGUACACUUGGGAUAGGGCAUCCUGACCCAAGGAAAUGAAAUUCGCUGUGAGAUAGGGAUGCGUCCCAUUAGCUAGUUGGUGAGGUAACGGCUCACCAAGGCGACGAUGGGUAGGGGAACUGAGAGGUUGAACCCCCACACUGGUACUGAGACACGGACCAGACUCCUGCGGGAGGCAGCAGUGAGGAAGAUUGGGCAGUGAGCGUGAGCCUGAACCAGCCAAGUCGCGUGAAGGAUGACUGGCUUAUGGAUUGUAAACUUCUUUUAUACGGGAAUGACAAGAGCGAAGUGUGGCUCACUGCAUGUACCGUAUGAAUAAGCAUCGGCUAACUCCGUG